CCCAGACUCCUACGGGAGGCAGCAGUGGGGAAUAUUGGGCAAUGGGCGCAAGCCUGACCCAGCAACGCCGCGUGAAGGAAGAAGGCUUUCGGGUUGUAAACUUCUUUUCUCAGGGACGAAGAAAGUGACGGUACCUGAGGAAUAAGCCACGGCUAACUACGUGCCAGCAGCCGCGGUAAUACGUAGGUGGCAAGCGUUAUCCGGAUUUACUGGGUGUAAAGGGCGUGUAGGCGGGAAAGCAAGUCAGAUGUGAAACCCAUGGGCUCAACCUGUGGCCUGCAUUUGAAACUGUUUUUCUUGAGUACUGGAGAGGCAGACGGAAUUCCUAGUGUAGCGGUGAAAUGCGUAGAUAUUAGGAGGAACACCAGUGGCGAAGGCGGUCUGCUGGACAGCAACUGACGCUGAGGCGCGAAAGCGUGGGGAGCAAACAGGAUUAGAUACCCGGGUACG
rnacentral:rRNA from 1 species